rnacentral:rRNA from 1 species
UACGAAGGGGGCUAGCGUUGCUCGGAAUCACUGGGCGUAAAGGGUGCGUAGGCGGGUCUUUAAGUCAGGGGUGAAAUCCUGGAGCUCAACUCCAGAACUGCCCUUGAUACUGAGGAUCUUGAGUUCGGGAGAGGUGAGUGGAACUGCGAGUGUAGAGGUGAAAUUCGUAGAUAUUCGCAAGAACACCAGUGGCGAAGGCGGCUCACUGGCCCGAUACUGACGCUGAGGCACGAAAGCGUGGGGAGCAAACAGGGA